CCUACGGGUGGCUGCAGUGGGGAAUAUUGGGCAAUGGGCGCAAGCCUGACCCAGCAACGCCGCGUGAAGGAAGAAGGCUUUCGGGUUUUAAACUUCUUUUGUCAGGGACGAAGCAAGUGACGGUACCUGACGAUUAAGCCACGCCGAACUACGUGCCAGCAGACGCGGUAAUACGUAGGUGGCAAGCGUUAUCCGGAUUUACUGGGUGUAAAGGGCGUGUAGGCGGGAAUGCAAGUCAGAUGUGAAAACCACGGGCUCAACCUGUGGCCUGCAUUUGAAACUUUAGUUCUUGAGUACUGGAGAGGCAGACGGAAUUCCUAGUGUAGCGGUGAAAUGCGUAGAUAUUAGGAAGAACACCAGUGGCGAAGGCGGUCUGCUGGACAGCAACUGACGCUGAGGCGCGAAAGCGUGGGGAGCAAACAGGAUUAGAUACCCGGGUAGUC
rnacentral:rRNA from 1 species